GAAAAAAUGAACAAAGUUGGAGCCUUUGAAAUCCUCCACUUUCAAAGAGACUGUUGUGGAAGUAAAGCCUGAUGAUGAUAAUGGGUCACCUUCUCCAUCGCAUUUCCCCUGCGUUUCUAAGACAGCAGAGGCUGAUGAAGAUAAUGCUCUCUUCGCAGUCUAUGACAGAAGCCAUGACGACAUAUGUGCAUUCAAAAACUUCACCAAAUAUAGAUGCAGUUUUCCUCUCAGAGUUUGAGAAUAUUGUGCCAACUGCCAAACAUCAGUAUGAUCUGUAAAACUAAAUUUAAUUAAUGCACACUCCCCCCCCCCCCCCUUAAAAUGGUGGGCUUUCACCACCUUAAAUAGAGGAAAUUCAGAGUUAUUUUAAAUGCACAAUUUAUCAGCAAAAUAUUUAUUUCCUUUUUCCGAUUUCUCCUUCAAAGCGUUUAGAUUCUCGAAUUUCAAUGUUCUUUAAUUUUGGUUAAACCGGACUAGGGAUCUAAUUGUUCUAUGGUAUCAUCAGCAAUUUCAAGAUGCAAUCAUAAAAACUCAGAAGAACGCCAAGAUCCAGCUUGUCAAAGAUACAACUACCGGGAUGUAUCUGCAGGCUUAGGUGGAUGGAGGAUUUGGUCGUGACGUUAUGGAGUUUCUGGUGAACGGAAAUGUUGUUUCUUAUAGAGCUAUGGCGACCAAGUUCACGUAUGUAUACCCCUUCACCACGGCCUUGGGGGACCUAAAAGGACAGGAAGAGAGGCUGCAACAAAUCGUCAAUGAAUUAGGCUGGAAUGUAUGUGUAGAUAGAGUGUUGCAUCAUUGAUUUCUGUUUCUGUGUAAAGCAAUUUAGUUAUACAGGCAGGCUUGCUAUGCUGCUUCUUUGCUGUUGUGGUUGUCUCCAGGCACGAAUAUAACUACGACACAACAGCCACAAAAUCUUUUUUAUGCACUACAUCUUUUGAUUUUUAAAUAGAAAUGAAUAUGUAGUUGAUCUGUUUUGCUUAGCGGACGACACUGAAUCUGCAAGAAAUGGAUAUUCUAGCAAUUUUAUUUGUGAAAAAGGAUAGUUUUCAAA